rnacentral:rRNA from 1 species
AAGUAGGAAUCUUCCGCAAUGGACGAAAGUUUGACGGAGCAACGCCGCGUGAGUGAUGAAGGUUUUCGGAUCGUAAAGCUCUGUUGUUAGGGAAGAACAAGUGCGAGAGUAACUGCUCGCACCUUGACGGUACCUAACCAGAAAGCCACGGCUAACUACGUGCCAGCAGCCGCGGUAAUACGUAGGUGGCAAGCGUUGUCCGGAAUUAUUGGGCGUAAAGGGCUCGCAGGCGGUUUCUUAAGUCUGAUGUGAAAGCCCCCGGCUCAACCGGGGAGGGUCAUUGGAAACUGGGAAACUUGAGUGCAGAAGAGGAGAGUGGAAUUCCACGUGUAGCGGUGAAAUGCGUAGAGAUGUGGAGGAACACCAGUGGCGAAGGCGACUCUCUGGUCUGUAACUGACGCUGAGGAGCGAAAGCGUGGGGAGCGAACAGGAUUAGAUACCCUGGUAGUCCACGCCGUAAACGAUGAGUGCUAAGUGUUAGGGGGUUUCCGCCCCUUAGUGCUGCAGCUAACGCAUUAAGCACUCCGCCUGGGGAGUACGGUCGCAAGACUGAAACUCAAAGGAAUUGACGGGGGCCCGCACAAGCGGUGGAGCAUGUGGUUUAAUUCGAAGCAACGCGAAGAACCUUACCAGGUCUUGACAUCCUCUGACAACCCUAGAGAUAGGGCUUUCCCUUCGGGGACAGAGUGACAGGUGGUGCAUGGUUGUCGUCAGCUCGUGUCGUGAGAUGUUGGGUUAAGUCCCGCAACGAGCGCAACCCUUGAUCUUAGUUGCCAGCAUUUAGUUGGGCACUCUAAGGUGACUGCCGGUGACAAACCGGAGGAAGGUGGGGAUGACGUCAAAUCAUCAUGCCCCUUAUGACCUGGGCUACACACGUGCUACAAUGGACAGAACAAAGGGCUGCGAGACCGCAAGGUUUAGCCAAUCCCAUAAAUCUGUUCUCAGUUCGGAUCGCAGUCUGCAACUCGACUGCGUGAAGCUGGAAUCGCUAGUAAUCGCGGAUCAGCAUGCCGCGGUGAAUACGUUCCCGGGCCUUGUACACACCGCCCGUCACACCACGAGAGUUUGCAACACCCGAAGUCGGUGAGGUAACCUUUAUGGAGCCAGCCGC